rnacentral:rRNA from 1 species
ACGGGUGAGUGAUACAUCGGAACGUAUCCUGGAGUGGGGGAUAGCCCGGCGAAAGCCGGAUUAAUACCGCAUACGCUCUGAGGAGGAAAGCGGGGGACCUUCGGGCCUCGCGCUCAAGGGGCGGCCGAUGGCGGAUUAGGUAGUUGGUGGGGUAAAGGCCUACCAAGCCGACGAUCCGUAGCUGGUCUGAGAGGACGACCAGCCACACUGGGACUGAGACACGGCCCAGACUCCUACGGGAGGCAGCAGUGGGGAAUUUUGGACAAUGGGGGCAACCCUGAUCCAGCAAUGCCGCGUGUGUGAAGAAGGCCUUCGGGUUGUAAAGCACUUUUGUCCGGAAAGAAAUCAUCGGGGCCAAUACCCCUGGUGGAUGACGGUACCGGAAGAAUAAGCACCGGCUAACUACGUGCCAGCAGCCGCGGUAAUACGUAGGGUGCGAGCGUUAAUCGGAAUUACUGGGCGUAAAGCGUGCGCAGGCGGUGCUGUAAGACCGAUGUGAAAUCCCCGGGCUUAACCUGGGAACUGCAUUGGUGACUGCAGCGCUGGAGUAUGGCAGAGGGGGGUGGAAUUCCACGU